rnacentral:misc_RNA from 1 species
GAUGAAGAACGCAGCGAAAUGCGAUAAGUAAUGUGAAUUGCAGAAUUCAGUGAAUCAUCGAAUCUUUGAACGCUCAUUGCGCCCGCCAGUAUUCUGGCGGGCAUGCCUGUCUGAGCGUCAUUUCAACCCUCAUGCCCCUAGGGCGUGGUGUUGGGGAUCGGCCAAAGCCCGCGAGGGACGGCCGGCCCCUAAAUCUAGUGGCGGACCCGUCGUGGCCUCCUCUGCGAAGUAGUGAUAUUCCGCAUCGGAGAGCGAUGAGCCCCUGCCGUUAAACCCCCAACUUUCCAAGGUUGACCUCAGAUCAGGUAGGAAUACCCGCUGAACUUAAGCAUAUCAAUAAGCGGAGGA